rnacentral:lncRNA from 10 species
ACCGCGUCCAGCCUCUUGUUUUAUCUUUUAUAGAAAUGGAAGCAGGGAGUUUUAUUCUUUUGUGUCAGGCCUCCUUCACUCCAAUGUCUCAAAGUCUGUGAGAGUCAUCCUUAUUGUCUCAAUGUCUGUGAGAUUCAUCCUUAUUGUUGCAUGUACUUAAGCUUGCUCAUUCUUAUUAUAUUACAUUGUGUGAAUAUACCACAAUCUACUUAUACAGUUGCACUGUUGACGGGCAUUUGAGUAGUUUCCAGUAUGGAGCACUUAUGAGUAGUGCUAUGUUAUAGUACAUGCCUUUGGUAAACAUGUAUUAGCUAUUUUUACUGACCAUUAUGUACGUUAGAGAAAAUUCAGC